rnacentral:rRNA from 1 species
UACGUAGGGUGCGAGCGUUGUCCGGAAUUAUUGGGCGUAAAGGGCUCGUAGGCGGUCUGUUGCGUCAGGAGUGAAAACUCGGGGCUUAACCCCGAGCCUGCUUCUGAUACGGGCAGACUAGAGGUAUGCAGGGGAGAACGGAAUUCCUGGUGUAGCGGUGAAAUGCGCAGAUAUCAGGAAGAACACCCGUGGCGAAGGCGGCUCUCUGGGACGGUACUGACGCUGAGACGCGAAAGCGUGGGGAGCGAACAGG